GACGUAGGGCGCAAGCGUUGUCCGGAAUUAUUGGGCGUAAAGAGCUCGUAGGCGGCUUGUCACGUCGGGUGUGAAAGCCCGGGGCUUAACCCCGGGUCUGCAUUCGAUACGGGCUGGCUAGAGUGUGGUAGGGGAGAUCGGAAUUCCUGGUGUAGCGGUGAAAUGCGCAGAUAUCAGGAGGAACACCGGUGGCGAAGGCGGGUCUCUGGGCAGUAACUGACGCUGAGGAGCGAAAGCGUGGGGAGCGAACAGG
rnacentral:rRNA from 1 species